rnacentral:snRNA from 1 species
UUGUGACUAUUAUAGUCUGG